GUGGGGGAAGAUGUGACCAAUAUAGCUGAUGGGAUGGAGACCGGGGCUGUAGACCUUGAGGUUAGGUUUCGGAAUCUGCUUAUUUUCCCCAUUAAAUAAGAUGACAAGAUAAUGUUUGCAUCGUUGAAAUUGAUACUUGAAGUAGGUGAAUGCCUCAUUAUUUCCUAUGCUAAUCCAAAAUAUUAUUAUCUCUCUUAACUUUUUUUUUUUCAAUUUUUCUUUUUAAAUUAGGAUGC
rnacentral:lncRNA from 1 species